rnacentral:lncRNA from 1 species
GAAGUCAGUCUUCCACUAGCAGCACUUGGAUGAAGACAUAGAACUCUCAGCUCCUCCUGCACCAUGCCUGCCUGGAUACUGCCAUGCUCCCACCUUGAUGAUAAUGGACUGAACCUCUGAACCUGGAGAGUGAUGCUAUUUGGACAUGUGGCCUUGUUGGAAUAGGUGUAUCACUGUGGCUGCAGGCUGUAAUAGCCUAGCUCUAGCUCCCUGGAGGCUCUGAUUCUGCUAGCAGCCUUCAGAUUAAGAUGCAGAACUCUCAGCUCCUCCUAUACCAUGCCUGCCUGGAUGGUGACACGUUGCAGCCUUGAUGAUACUGGACUGAACCUCUGAAGCUCAUCCAUUUCUGGGCGUGCUGACUGUUGGGUGGAAAUCGGUCUUUCAAGUGCUUUAAUACUUCACCAGCAGCCACGAAACAGCUCUGUUCUGCAUGGAACUCUGCAAGAUGGCAGAGAGCGAAGGCAAAGGACUCAGUAUUGUUCUGAUGCACGCCCGCAUUCAGCGACUCCAGGCUGUUCAUGCUCAGCAACAUCUGGGCUUGAUGCAGUGCCAUGGUGCUGCGGCCGUACAGCCUCCAGAUGUCCGUUUUCUGUGCAAUGCGGAUAUCGAUAAGUUCCGACAAGCUGUGUUUCCAGUGCAGGAGGUCAGAAUCCUUUAGGGCAUCCAUCAGUCUGUUGGCCGUUUUCCCAGAAAAACCUCCGUGUUCAAAACGUUUCAGUUCAACGCACAGCCUCCUGCAUUAUUUUGACCACCUGAUUCUCACUGGAGCAGAGGGCAAAAGUAAUGGGGAAGAAGGUUAUGGCGGGAGCCUGAGAUAUGCUGCUGUCAACCUGGCUGCCCUGCACUGCCUCUUCUGUCACUAUCAACAGGCAGAGCUCGCCCUGCAGGAGGCAAUUAGGAUUGCCCAGGAGUCCAAGGAUCACCUGUGUCUGCAGCACUGUUUGAGCUGGCUUUAUGUGCUGGGGCAGAAGAGAGCCCAUAGCUAUGUUCUGUUGGAGCACUCUGUGAAGAAUGCAGUACAUUUUGGGUUAUUUAUUGCUUUUAUUAUGUUUAGGGAUGUAUCUUGUAUCCUUCUAUUCUGGAGGACUUUUAACAAGAAGUUGUGUAGGGUUUUUCAGCAUCCAAAAGAUGAUAAUUUUUUUACUUAUUUUUAUUUUAUUUAUUUUUCUAUUUUGGCGGAUUGAGUUGAUGGGCUUUCCUAUCUAUCAACACCUGAAUCCCUGAAAUGAAGCCUACUUGAACAUCCUAGAUGGUGUCUUUGAUGUGUUCUUGGAUGCUGUGUGUGAUAUUUGAAUGUUCAUGAUGGAACUUCUUCUCUGACUCCCUUUCCAUGUUGUGUGUUUGUGUGAUUUAAUUACCAGGUUGCUUGUGGCCUCAGAGAAGGAGUUUGGCCAUGAUCAUUCUGUUUCUAUUUAGUUGAGUAUUUAGAGGACUAUUGGUAUUACGUCUUCAUUAAAAGUCUUGGAGAAUUCUGCACUAAAACCACGUGGCCCUGGCUUAUUUUGGGGGGGGGGCAGUGAAUGACUUUUGAUGACUUUUUCUUUUCUCUUAGGGAAUAUAGAAUCAUUUAGUUACUUUACUAGAUCUAGAUUAAACUUUGGUAAUUGGUAUCU